rnacentral:rRNA from 1 species
GUGGAUUAGAUACCCCGGUAGUCCACGCCGUAAACGAUGAGUGCUAAGUGUUAGAGGGGUCACACCCUUUAGUGCUGCAGCUAACGCGAUAAGCACUCCGCCUGGGGAGUACGGCCGCAAGGCUGAAACUCAAAGGAAUUGACGGGGGCCCGCACAAGCGGUGGAGCAUGUGGUUUAAUUCGAAGCAACGCGAAGAACCUUACCAGGUCUUGACAUCCCCUGACAACCCAAGAGAUUGGGCGUUCCCCCUUCGGGGGGACAGGGUGACAGGUGGUGCACGGUCGUCGCCAACU